ensembl:lncRNA
CGAAAUAACUUUUUUUGAUAGUCCGGAAAAGAAGCACGACAAAUAGACUCACCAUCGAGCCUUGCGUCAGCGAACCAUUUCCCCUGGACUACAGUCAAGGAAUCUGUUAUUCCAAUGAAACUUUAAUGGGAGGCUGACGUAUAAAGAACUGCUGUGGUUGAAGAAAAGGAUGGGUGAGGAAGAGGCAAGGCUACAGUCAAAAAACUUCUGUCUAUGAGCGAAAAAGCUGACCUAUACCAGACACUGACUCUGCUGGCACCAAGACCUUGGACUUCCCAGUCUCCAAAACAAUAGAAUUCUCAGAAAGGCCAAUGGCAUUUUGAGAGUGGAACCUGGAGUUUUGCUGGAUUUAACAGUUCUCCCUGAAGCUACGUACAAAUUUUGUUCAUUUGCCCUUUUGCUGUAUAUUUCUUAAAGUGCUAUUUUUGUUGUGGUUUCAGUGAUUCUCAUCCAAAAACAUAGCACUCUCAUGUCAUGGAAAAACACUGGACUGGGAGAAUCAAUUCACGUCUCAGUCCUUCCAUUAAACAAACAGAUUUGAGCUUUUGGAAAACCACUUUAACUCUUUGGACUUCAGCUACGCUAGCUGCAUGUCGGUCUGCCACGUAAGGUCACUCUUUUGUCUAAUAUUUUAUGUCUUUAUUAGAACAAGCACAUUACGGUGAGCUACAAGGAUGCUUGUCUGUAGAAAAUUGACAUCUCAAGCUUCAGAAUAGCACUGCUUAGCUUUUAAAGUGAGUGUCAGUGUUGGCAG